UUCUUCUCUCUUAUGGCAUUCACCAAACCUACAGCGCCCUGUCAUACACAUCACUCAUUUCCUUUUAUCGGAUUUAAUCUGUCAGCUAUGUCAAAAAAACGAUCGUCGUUUAAUGGGUUUAGGCACGUAUUCAAGGACAGUUCAUUUGAACUCAAUGGACUUUACGAUGUCUAUCUGCUCAUAGUGGAAGCUUUGCCCGAUAAGAGGGGGGAUUAACCUGUGAGGGAAAACGGAAAGACUUGCCAGAUUGUUUUAUUUCCCUUGAUCAUGUCAAAGUCUAGCUCACUUGUCCUGUGUAUUGUAACAGGUGGGCUAAGUUUGGAUGACAGACGUGACUCCCGCGAGGAUGUUGUGUGACACGUGGUCGAUCAGUCAGCUUGCCAAGCGAUGACUCGGAGAUCAUGCCAAUCAACUGAACACAAACAUCGUUUCAUGUAGCUCUGUUUGGUCUUGUGGAAGGUUAAAAAAGUAAAACUUAAGCUUAAGUGCAAGCUUUUCUCUGAAAUAUCAAUUUCCUCCCACUGCUGUUCUUUGUCAUCUAACUGAUAGUCCCAAUGGGGUCAUGGCAUUUACGGCUAACGGUUAAAAUUUUGGCCAACUUACGUCAAACGAAAGGCUCAAAAUACACAAGCAAUUGACGUCGGCAUUGACAGUUUCACCUGGUGUCAUUUUAUGCUUUCUUGAGGAGGUUAAUUCCUUGACUCAUUCCAAAGCAAAUCAGAAACUUUAGAGAUUUGAAUCUUCAAGAUUUACGAAGAGCGAAGGGUACUAUAAUCCAAUUUAAAAUGUAAAUUUAAUUUUUAUUGAAUUGUAAUUUGAUGUUGUCAACUUUGAUUCAGUACCUUUAUGAGCUAAGUACAUGAAUGAUACAUAAUUACGUUUCAUAUUGUAAGGAGAGGACUAUUUGCCGUUUUUGAGGGACUCAUUGUUCCUCACCAUGUAUGAAACGAGCUUAAAAAAAGAAAGAAGUCAAAGGCUACACAGAAAACAAGCUUAAAUAAAGGAGAUCUGCAGCUAAAAAGAAAAUAUCAUAGAGGAUGGAAAGUAUCUAUUUUACACAGAAGAAAUCAAAUUUAUGUCAACAUCGCCAUUUCAUUGCCGUCAUUUAGAAGCCGUCUAAAAGUCAACGGUUAGUCUUACAAAACAAUCUUGUCUUUUGAGCCAACAACUGUUCUAAAGGUUGCCAUGUGUGGUUAGUAGUCCAUUUCUACCGGAAGACCGAAGAUUUUCAUAAUCACGUACCUAACCACACUGUGGCGUUUUUCACACAAGCUUAUUAUUGUCCAGUGCCGCCCCCAUCGUUUGCCUGGGGAAUGUGUGAUACCCCAUGUAUCAGGUUUGUACAAUUCAAUUACUUUAAACAAACAUUUGUGCAAGGUAUAACCAGGUGUUUGUAGGUUUGUUUUAGAGAACAGCUUGCUGUGAUAAAAAAUGUACAAAAUUUUGUUUGGGCAAACCACCAAAUUAAAUGACCUGGAUUUGUGGCUGGGGCCCUGAUUGCAAACAUCAUGUUGUGAAAAGUAUCCAGGUAGUGUUUACCAAACUUCAACAGCCUUUCAACCUCCCUCGAAUACUGCAGCUUAACGAAAUAAAGUGGGUAAGGCCAGAAUAAAUAAGAAACUGGCACAUUUGAGCGAAAGUAGCAUUUUACUUCGGUGGAAAUGAGCUAAUCGGCCUUGAAUUCCGUAAGUCACGCAAAAUAAUAGACUUGACUUAUGACAAGUGAUGAAUGGACUUUCGCAGGUUAACUGCGGGUAAGCCUAAGCGAAACCUGAAAUAUUUUUUGGCCUGAGUUUAUACAGUUGCUUGAAUUGCAGUAUACUCGUGCAAAUCGAUUCCUUUCAUAUCAUCUAUAGUUGAAAUCCAUGCAUCAUUCCAAAAACAUUCUUUCACCUUUCACUCCCUAACAUCUAAAUCGUAAAGUUGGACAAAUUUCUCCAAAGUAUCUCAAACAGAAGUAAUUAAUUUUACCCUACUAGCAAAUAACUUGUGUUCUUUGUCACUCGUUAAGUCCACAUCCCCCCUAUUUACAAAACCCAACAGAAUAACUACUCGGAUAAAAGCUACUGAACAGUUAUUUUAUGUGGUACUCACUGCUUUGCUGUGUAAAGUGCCUCUUACAUCGUGGAUAAAACCCACGCGUGUCACCAUCCAAAAGAAAGCUACUUAACAGUUACAACUAAUUCUUUGCAUUAAACCAUAAUAUGUGUCCAUUCAAAUAAACUAUGAGCCUUUCUCCAUUCAAAUAAAGCCAAGCAGUAUUUACAUUUGGUCCUACAGAAUGAUUCUGACUUUCAAGUUUGUGGAUGGAACCCUAAUGUGUAAAAAUGAUGCAAAUGAAAAACAAUGUGCUUCAAUGUAUCUACCUUUUGAGGUGUGCGGUUAAAACCGUAUUGUAAUGUUCGCAAAUGGAGGCUUCUCGACAGAACUUCAACAUGACUUCUAAAGUUUUGUUUGGCCAGACAAAACCGCAAAACAAAUUGAGUGUAUUUGACUGAGAGCCUGCAGAUCGUAUCAGCGAACCCUUCAGACCAAGGACAGUCUCACAUGAUUGCCGGAGAAGUUCCCUAAUAGGAAUUUAAUCGUCGCUUUUUGUUUCUUUUGAUCGGAGCAACUUGUGGGACGAACGUUUAAGUUCACGAAUCUUGCCUAACUCGACUUUCUGAUGUGUUCCAAACGGCGUUGAACGGUCAUCGCAAGUUCGCGACAACAAUGCCGGAGCAUAAUUCUUGGAAUUAAAGAAAUCUUACUCUGUGAACAUAAAUCCUAAACAGAGAAACUUUUUUCCUGAAACUGCAGAAAUAUAUGCACGUAAACGGUAGUAGUGUCGAUCAACUCAUCUUUGUAGAUCUUUGAGAGUCAUGUACAAGCAUUGCGCACGUUUGAAAACAAGUAUAUAGCGAUGCAAUUUAGGUGAGAAGAAACUGAGUUGUAUUUACUUAUAUUUUGUUUAACGAUCGAAAUGAGAAGAAGUUACCCUAUCGUUGAAGCUGUCCCUGAAAUAUAGCAGGCACCAAAUAGGACAGCAUGGAUAAUAUUGUGAGCUCGUUUUCGAUAUAUUUUGUGUCGUACUUUAGUUUCAGUGAAUGAAAAUGAAACGUGUAUUAAAGUGAGUUAGGUUCAUCUGGCCAACCCAAAGAUUCAUUCUUUACCUUUUGUGCUAUAACAGAGAAGAAAUAAAGGACUUCGCCAGAGUAUUUCCCUCAUACCUGCACGAAUUUUCGCACAACAUGCAUGCAGGGAUUAUUAAUCCGUAGCAUGUUUCGAAUUCAUGCGGAGUAUAUUACUCCUUACCGGUGUUAAUUCGUUGUUUUUUAAGAAGGAU